rnacentral:lncRNA from 1 species
AGGCUACAGAAUGAUAGCUGGUAGAGGAAUCCUGAAAGUGUUAUACGGUGAUAGGAUUAUUCUGGAGGAGAAAAAGGGGAGGAGAAGACAUUAUUACCUGAUGGAGAGUCCAGUGCGAGGUGGAGCUCCAAAUGGAGGUGGAUCGGACACGAGACAGGAGACUCGAGAGGAUGAAAAGUGACAUCACAAGAUGAGAUUCUUAUUCUCGCAAGAUGAUGCCCCAAGC